AGUGAACGCUGGCGGUAGGCCUAACACAUGCAAGUCGAACGGCAACAGGGUAAAGGCUGGCUCUUAGGUGAGGAGAGUGGGGGGGGGGUGAGGUAUACGGGGAACUGUACGAUGGCGGGGGGGAAAACGUAGGAAAGCUAGCGCUAAUCGCACAACGUCGCAAGGGGUAAAAGCGGGAGAUUUGGGGCCCUUGCCAUCGGAUGUGACCAGAUGGGAUUAGCUAGUAGGUGGGGUAACGGCGCACCCAGGCGACGAUCCGUAGCUGGUCUGAGAGGAUGACCAGCCACACUGGAACUGAGACACGGUCCAGACUCCUACGGGAGGCAGCAGUGGGGAAUAUUGGACAAUGGGCGCAAGCCUGAUGCAGCCAUGCCGCGUGUGUGAAGAAGGCCUUCGGGUUGUAAAGUCCUUUUAUCGGGGAAGAAAAGAGGCAGGUUAAUACCUCUCUGUAUUGACGUUACCCAAAGAAUAAGCACCGGCUAACUUCGUG
rnacentral:rRNA from 1 species